AAUCAACACGUUGGAUUUCACUUUCUGGGGAAAAAGCAAACUGGAUUUUUAUUGUUUUGUUUUGGUCGCCUCCAAUCGUUUUCUGCAAACUGAGAAAGUCGACUCCAGUCCUUUACCGGAAGCUGACAAAGCUUCUCCAGAUGACUGGAUCUCCACGACGGAACAUUACAUGGAGUCCAACCCAGAGACUUUACAGGAGCUGAUGUCCGAGAACAAUGCAGUAACGGAGGGUGACAUAGUGUUGCAAGUGA